rnacentral:lncRNA from 1 species
CCAAGUGCUCACCCUCGCCUCCGAUCCAAAAGUAGUUGUUGGCACGAACGAUCACCACUGGUAGCUAGUACUGGACCUGCAUCACGAAACAUAUGCACAGUGUAGCAUGAGUACCAAAACAAAGGUACUCAGUUGGCAUCAUACGCCGAUUGAGCAAAAAAGGUAAACACAAUAUGGAAAGAUAGAAUUUAGACACAAACAAAGGUCCAAGCGGUAUUUAAAAGAACCACACAACCGUACCAAAAGUAAAAAUAAGUACAACUACACUAAACCUAACUUGACCCCCAUAAGCCUAGAAGGUGCACUCAUGCGCAAGUUUAAAUAAAACACGCAUGCACCCCCAUAAGCCUGACAUGUACUCAGAAUGGUUAAAACUACAAGAGUGAAAUGCCACUAGUCCAGAUCCAAUAAGUGUAAGUCGGGCCUCGAACCCCAAGUGAUGGCCUUUAACCAGAGGUAAUGAUCUCGAACCAUAAACAUCGGCCUCAAAUCGGAAGUAACAACCGCUUAUCAUAAUCAUCUGCUUCGAAUUGGAGCUAACAACCUCGAAUCGGAAGUAAGAAAUAAUGGGGCCAACCAGUAAACUCCUAGGGGCUUCAGCCGCCAAACUACUAAGAGUAUAAUUGGGGGAAUAUCGACUCUGAAAAUGAUUGCAUCACAAUCAAAUAAAAGUACCACUGUGGAGCGAGGUCCAGUCACAAGAAAUCUAGACCAGACUACAAGCCUGAACCACUCUAAUCCUAAAUCGCCUAGAGAAGCACGAAACCUCCAAUAUCACAAUGGGGCAGCAAAAAUAGGGAGAGUGAAUAGAUGAUCGGCAAAGCUGAGUCACCACCUAAACUAAGGCUCAUUACAUCAAACUAAAGUCUGCUACUCUAUUCUACAAGGAACUAAUCCGCCUGAAUCGAUGUCAGAGACGAAAUAAGGCCUACAGGCCACAAGUAUCGCAAGUCUAAAGCAAACACUAGUUUAAUCUUAGACUAGGGCUAAUUAUGCUCAAAUAUAUCAUAUGAAAACAUACAAGUUUAUUCACAAGAUAGUAGUAAGCAUGUAACCCCGACUAACAUGGUACUACACCUGAAAUAAUGUCGAUCAAGUCUAAAACAUGGUACCCAAGAACGGAAAUAGAAACAACAGGUAUCCACCCCCCAAUUCAACCUAAUUAAAAUUAAUUUACACAUUCAAGCUCAAUCUGAGAGAAGGAAAGUUGUAGCCUACCUUUAGGAUGACCGCAUGCGCUCCCAAAUCACUGUUCUAAAGCUUUUCCCUUCUAAAUAACCUCAUAACACUGUCAUGCUAUCAAAAAUAGGAUCACAACGUUAAAACAGUCAUUUCAAACACCAAAAUCACAAAAAUUAGAAAUAGACCAAUUUUGGAGUCAAAUAGGAAUCAUGAGACCUAAGCCAGAAUUUCUGAAUUGACUUCAUCAAAAUGGAACACAAUUCGGGCUCGGAACAGCAAGAACAACAACAUACAAUAAUUUCUACAAAUUAAGAACUAGGACCAAGCUUAAGCAGUCCAAAAAAUUACCUCGAAUAAAGGCCCUCAACAUUUUCGAUUAGUCCAUAGCGUAGCCCCAAACUCCACGAACACACCAUACUUGAAUCACCCAAAAUGAAGAAAAAAUGUGAGAAACAAUUACACUUAAAUAUAUGAACUCAAUGUUGAUCGGGUUCUGGUCUUUAUAUAAAAGAACAGAAGAAGCUCCUUAUCGCGAUUGCGAAAAUAAGGGUCACGAUCGCAGCUCACUUAAAACCUAACCAUUGCGAUCCCAGAGGUCAGACCUUGAAGUAGCGACAACCAAGGAAGGUCAACUCAGUCAAUGAUUCAUUGCAAUCGCGGGCCAAAGGCCAUGUACUUGCGAUGAACAAGGGGACAGACCCUCAUGAACGUGACCAAGGGACCCAUGAAUGUGAAGGGUAAAUCUCCCUACACCAGUUGAUGCACAUCAGCUGGUUUUGGCAAGCUACAAAUCUUCGAUAGGGUGUUUCGAAUUCGUUUAGAACUAUGUCCAUUCAAAGAAAUAUGCUACAUUACAAAAUUUGAUAUUCCAGACUCAACGGAGACAUCAAAAUUUCCAAACGAGUUCGUCUCGACAAAAAGUGGUUCCCACACCCAAACUCUAUUUUAAGUCAAAGUCCACAAGGGGGCUCGGGAUCUACACGAAGGGUCAUUAUAGACCAAACUUGAAAUUCCGGAGAUAACCGCAUUGAUGGAAUUCUCAUUCGAGUACGUGUAUAUUGACCAAGGUCAAACUUACGCCUUAACUUGAAAGUUAAAAUGCCUAAUCUUACAAACUCGCAUCGAAAGCCUCGGGAGUCGUACUGACCAUGCUACUAGCCUAAAAUGACCCUUCAAGAGCUAAUGGAAUUAGUUUCUAAGGUCAUCUUCCUGAACUUUUGAUCGAGAACAACCGUUCAAGGUUCAAAAGUUUCAAAACACAUAAAUUCACACUAAACCCAAACGAACGACUAGAUGACUGAAUUGUCAGUCCCAUGGUCACUAUAGGAAAUCUCUAAACGUUGAACAAAAGGUAUAAACACAUAAAUGACCUUGAGGGUCAUUACAACUUCUAUUGGCUCUAUGUAGUCUGAAGCCUACCUUUAAUAAGAUUCACUUUAACGUACAACUUAUGCCUUUUGAGAGUUAUAUCACAACUCUUAGGUGACAUGCAUGUUCAACCUCUAAUUGAAAAGUAAAUCAAGAUGUUGUCAAUGAAGAGGAUAAGAAACACAUCAAGAAAGGGCCCAAACACCAUGUUCAUCAAAUCCAUAAAGGUUGUUGGGGGAUGAAUAUUUCAAAAUGAGAUCACUAGAAACUCAUAAUGACUAUAUCGGGUCCUAAGAGUAGUCUUAGGGACAUCAACCUACCUAACUCAUAACUGGUGGUAUCCAAACCUCAAAUCAAUUUUAAUAAAGCAUCUAACUCCCAGCAACUGCUCAAACCAAUCAUCAAUUUUGGGUAGCAGAUAUGUAUUCUUAAUUUUCACUUUGUUAAGCUAUCUAUAGUCUAUGAACAUUCAUAAAAAUAGUCCUUCUUUCGCAAAAAUAAUAUUGACGCACCACACAGCCAUAUGUUAGGCCAUAUAAAACCUUUGUCGAGUAGAUCUUUCAACUACUCCUUCAACUUCUUAAGCUCAAGAGGAGCCAUUCCGUAAGGACAUAUAUAUAUUGAGUACAUGGGAGUAAAUCAAUAGAAAAAUCUAUUUUCCUUUCAGGAGGGACUCUAGGUAGAUUUUCUCGGAAGACUAAUGGAAACUCAUUUACGAGUGGAACCGAUGAAAGCAUCACAAGUUUGUUUUCCAUGUCUUUAACCCCAACCAAAUGAUAAAUACAACCUUCGAAUAUCGGCUUCUAGACUUAAGGUAUGAAAUAAAUGUACCAUUAGGCAUAACAACAUUACCCUUCCAUUCCAAGACUGGCUCGUCUAGAAAGUGAAAUCUCGUAAUCUUGGCUUGAUAAUCAACAUUAGCAUAACAUGCUUCUAGAUAAUCCAUGCCCAUAAAGCAUAAAAAAUAACCUUUUCCAGAUCAUCUAGGGUAGAUCUAUCACUUGCCAACACUCCACAGUUUUGAUAAACCCUUCUAGUUGCUAACACAGACUCACCAAUUAUCAUAGAACCAACAAAUAGUUUAAAUAAUAAUUUAGGAACUAUUUCAAACUAGCUUGCAACCAAUGAAGUAACACUAGUGAGGGUAGAGCAGAGAUCAAGCAAAGCAUAUAUGGUACGAGAAUGAAUAAUCAAUGUACCUAUGAUAACGUGAGGUGAUGCCUCUAUGUCUUUGAGACAACCUAAUGUAGAAAAUUGGCUCUACACAUCUCCUGAACAAGAUGCCUUUAUCCCUACCAAAACCUAAAGUAGUCUGAGGAUCGAGUCUCUAAGGGUGAACUAGAGGUUACGAAGACACUGACAAUCCUAUUCUCUAAAUUCUAUGACCACUCUGUAUGCUCGAAUACUAGUACCUAAUAUUCCCUAAUUGUCUACAAUUGUAACUUACAUCUGCCCCUGAAGACAUGGUCUAGAAUGUGCCCUUUCGCAAAUGUGAGAAAUGCAGAGCUCAAGCCUUUGAAAGGUCCCGUGGUAAGCACUAAUCUAGAAGGGGCCCUGAUAAUUGUUGCUAUUUAGUUGGAGGUGAAUUAGUUCAUACCAUAAUAUACCUACAUUACAUAGCCUGAAUACUACUAAUUCCUCUCCCUUUGUAAUUGUAUCCCACAUCACCUUCAAACUCUAUAACUUUGAUCAACAAAGUUGUAGGGGUCUUAAUUUAGAUUAGAUCCAGACAAAAUAGGAGAAAUCAAGCUAAAAAUUCAUAGGCUUUGGAGCUCUUGAAUGCAUGACCUCUAGCCCUUUCUACUGCUUUCAAUUGUCCUGCUUGGCCAGCAUCUAUAUGGGCCAUCAGAUGAAUAGCUCUCUUAAUGAGCUAUCCUUCCUCCAAAAGGUGUAAUAGGUACCAGAGGGUCGACAACUCUGUCACCCUCAUGUGCAAUUGGGGCUGGUGGAAUUAGUUGUAUGUCCACAACAACUCUAGUUAGAGCUAUAGGGGCUAUAAUACCUGGACUAAUAGAUUCAUUAUGAGUCUCUAACCUAUCUCCCCAUUCAUUAGAAGGGAGAAACAUACCCACUCCUCUAGUCAUGAAGAUCAAGUGAGUAGCCAUCAACCUCAUCACAUACAUAUUCUAAAAUAAUAGCUUGCUUUAGAUAUCAUUUAACCUUAUGACUUUGCUUUUAGCACGAACUAUCAAUGAAAGAUGUGAAACAAAUCCUAAGUCCUGAUUAUAAGUAUGGUUCACAAUAUACCAAUAAGCAUUACUUUAAUAGACAUGGCUUUAUGGACUUCUUGGGAUACAACUUUACUAAGAUACCAAGUUCGUCAAGCCCCAAAACUGAGAAGGCGCAAUUUUCCUUGAUAGUAAUUGAAUCGAGAAGUCGAUUAUCUAAUACUGAAAUAGUAGCACUUAGGCCGACAAAGCCACUUGUCACAACAAUCUGAAAUGAUAAGGUCGCAACAUAAUAAAAUUUGAAAACAUAAGGCCAACUAGGACAUAAUACAACUAAGUUGAGCAACAAAAAACCGCCAAGGGCAUAAAUCUCAAUUGAACUAAACAACACAAACACAUCCAAAAAAGCCUCUAAAGAAUAAAAAGACUGUGUGCAUAGGAUAAAGCCUUGGCCAACCCAUACCGUACAUCAAAACUCAAUAUUAUCAAACUAGAAUAUGGCUCCUUGAAGAAGAAUGCAUACCAACUUAGCUAAAUUAGGACUCCUACUUCAAUUGGGGAUCAGAGCAACACGAAUACAACGUCCUUAGGAAAAGAGACAUUAGUAUGAAUGACAUGUACUGGUAUAUAAGGCUGAUAGUUGUAAACGUAAGUACAUCAAAGAUACAAAACUAGAGCUAGGGAUAGAAACAACCUAAUACUCCAAAAGAUGAAAUAUGAUAACUUAAGAUUUCCAUGUGAAUACAACCAAGUAAGAACAUAAAUAAAUCAUAUUGCCAUAAUGGUACACUAAACGAUAAUCUAGCCAUAAUGAGUACCAUACCUUGUUGCGAUGGCCAUCUGUGAUGUGUAUUUAUUGAAUAGGCAUCUGCCUACCUAAUAUAUCCACUCUUGUGAUGUAUUGAACUAUAGUUGUAGUUGGUACUCUAUCUUCCCACUUAUAUUACUGCAUUGAUGAUGAAACGUAAAUCCAUAACCAUUAUCGCACAUGGAGCUGCCUGGGAUUAUAUUGAAUCUAUCUAAUAUAUAUAUGGCACAUAUAAAAGAUGACUCUGAGAUUGUAACCUAAAUAGGACUUUUCAAGACUCAUCAACUGCAAAUAUGUACAUAAAACAUAUAUAGCUUUCAAACAUCAUAUAAUCAAUGCUUACUCAAUAACUUAAACAACCUUCAGAAGGUUUAAAUGACACAAGGACUCUAGUAGGCUUAUAAAUGAUGUUUUAAAGAUAUUUUUGUCGCCUUAGCAUAUAGAUUGAACGGGGAACAAGUAUUUCUAUUUAUUUACAAUUCACUAACAUUUUGAAUCUUCAUAUAUACAUAUAUAUCUUUCCCAUAAAGUGUUUUCUUUACAAAUAUUGAAAAAUAUACAAUUGGAUUUCCGUUAUCAACUCAUCAUAUAGAUGAACACAAAUAGUUCUUAAUUUUCUUGCCUUACUCACAUGAACAUAUGAAACUCAUAUACACAACUACUUCAUAAUCAUUACACAAACGGAAAAAACUUACACUGCCCAUGAUAAGGGGUCUCCAAACUCAAUUUACAACUAUGACAACAAUUAUAUAUAUCGUCAUUCACAUCGCAUUCAUAUGUCUUUAAUAUUUCAAUAACUAUAGACUGUCACCAUGUAUUUCCACCCUUUAGACAAAACCAUAUCAUGCCUCAAUAUGAGUUUAUAAGGUUGGAGUAGUACCCCUAUCAACGAUAUAGAUUCGUGCUUGAAAAUUCAAGAAAGGGGCACCUUUACAUACUUCAUAGAUAUUACUCGAUAGCUUGAAUUUAGUUUAUUUAUAACUUCAUUAAGAUAGUGUAACAUAUAAAAAAGAAUCAUACAACCCAUAGCCAUCUAAAAUCUUCCACAAUCUAAACAAAAUGGAAGAAUUUCCAAAAUCAAUAGUCGUCAUUCAAUAAUAACAUAUAACUUCAAAUUAACUAUGGAGUGAGGUUAAGAACUAUAUUACCUUGUCAAAAUAACUUAUAGAUUCAUCCCUAAACCUUUAAUUUAUUCAAAACCAUGUUUUACACACCUUGGAAGAGAAACACUAAACCAAAUAUGGACAAACUAUUCCAAAACGAUGAGUUCAACGUGUAGAACAACUUCCAUUAAGGACUUAAUCCAAGAUCAUGAACAUAUAGGGAAAAAUUUGAGGUUAUUCUUUAUUUUUUUAAAUCUUGGGACUAAGUUUGAAAAACAAAUAAAUAAAAUUCCCAAAAGAGAAACCAAAAUAUAUAUACAUCUCCACCGACCUAGGGCCCACUUCACAUGUAUGCUUGUGCAGUUUCACAAAAAAGAAAAUAUCAUUCUACUUUGAAGUUGUAUUGGAGAAUGGUCUAAUGCGUUAGAAACUAGACUCAUACAAAUUUAAUUUUAUAUGUUGUAGACCCUCUAACUCUUUAUAUAUCGGGAUAUAUGAUCAUCCUAAGUCAGACUACAUCUAAAAUUAUUUGAAAUACUUCCUCGAAAUAAAACCUUCAAAUAGAAUUUUGUUUCCAAACUCCCUUUAGCCUAAAACUUUAAAGGUAGUGUAAUACCAAAGAGAUUUAUAGUAGGUUUAGUAUUUUAUGAUAUACAUUUAUAGAAUUUAGUUAAGAAAAUUUUAAAAGAUGGUCUAAAAACUAAACACUGACAUAUAAAAUAGAUUGGAUGGAAUUGUAGCUAAUGACAUUCUUUAAAAUUUCUAGUGCACCUAUAUAUUUCAAGUGAAUUGUUUUUUCUCUAAUGUGCUUAUUGUGUUUCUGAAAUUGUAUGAAUUGUUUAUCUAUAUUUUGGAGUGAUGUGUACAACGUAGUGACUGAUCAUUUGUGGUAAUGUGGUAAUGUGCUAAUGUAAUUAUUUGUUUUAGUUAUCGAAACUCCAGAGGGAUUUCUAAUGGAAUGGUGGGAUGGUUUGUAUGAUAUGUACAACAUUUAUCAAGCUGAGAAGGCCCAAGGAUCCUUUGUUGAGGUGUUACCUAAACCUUUCAAAGCUAAAUUCAUCUUUUCCAGAGAUUAUUUUAAUCUCUUGAUGCAUCAUUCUUUAAAAUUCUCAGGCUGCAGAGGCUACUCACAAUGAGGUAUAUCAUCUCCCUUCUGAUAUAUCAACCUCUUCUCCUGUGGUGCUGGCCUUCCACCCGACGACACCUGAGGGUGAACUGAUGUUUGAUUUAAGGUUUGUUUUUAAAUGGAUUGUUCAAGUUAGAGGUUGUAACAUGUUAUGGUUUUUUGAUGAUGUGGACCAACAUUUCUGCACUUGAUGAAUUUUAUAGAGUUCUGUUCACUUAACUUAAUGUUAUAACAAUUUUGCAUUUUUUCUUGAACAAAUUCAUGUUUUCAUUGGGUUUUAUGCAAUGCAAUUACAACAAACAACAAUAAUAUACUCAAUGAAAUUUCACAAGCAGGGUAUGGGGAGGGAAGAGUGUAAGAAGACCAUACCCCUACCUCAUAGAGGUAAAAAGUCUAUUUAUGGAGGACCUUCAAUUCGAGUACAACAUAUAAAAAUAGGAAUGAAAAAUAAAAAUCAGUAGUGGAGAAACAAAGUAACUAAUAAGGAAAUAGUAACAACCACAAAAUAUUCUAAUAACGAAAAUACAAUCAACAACCGGUGAUGGUGGAAUCAAAAACAAGACAUUAUAAGAAUACUAUUAAACACUUAUAAAUUAAGACAACGUCCCAUACCUAUGAAUCUUCUACCCUAAUACGUGACCUCCACACCCUCUUAUCUAAUGUCCAAGGCCGACUCAACAAGAUUAGGGGCCUAAAGCCAAAUCUAAAAGAGGGGGCCCUAAUAUAUUUUUAAUUUUUUUUUAAAAAAAAGGUAUCAUAUAUACUUUUCUAGCAUUUUUAGAUGCAAAGUUAUUAAUUAUUGUUUUAUAAUCAAUUUGUUUUAGUAAUUCCUUUUCAAUCAUAUAUAUAUAUAAGAGAACCUUAUGCCCGCCUAUAUGGCGCCACCACAAACCCAUAAUUCACUUUUAAUUUAUUUAUUUCCAAAACUAGUCUUCCCCUUUCAUGAAAAAUUGUGACAUUUAUGAAAAGUUGACUUUUAUGAAAAGUUGCAACUUUAAUGAAGAGUUGCAACUUUUAUGAAAAGUUGUGACUUUAACGAAGAGUUGCUAGUUUAAUGAAGAGUUGCGACUUUUAUGAAAUGUUGUGACAUUUCUAAAGGGUUGCAACUUUUCCAAAUAGUUGUAACUUUCCAAUAAGGUACAAUAAAUAUUUGUUCACAUUAUCAUUUGUUGUUUAUAAAUAUAGGGAUUUCCUCUCAUUUCAAAACAACGAAAAUUCUAAACCUCUUCUUCAUCUUCUUCUUCUUUUUCACAAUUAAAUAUUUGUGUACUUUAUCCAUGUUGAGUAGUUCAGUGACACCAUUGCUUAUGUUACAAAUCCGGGUAUGUAUUUUUACAAUCAUUAAUUUAUGCUUAUGUUAUUAAGGAUAAAUGAUAAGAUGUAAUAAUCUUCAUUUUCCUUUACAUUAUUAAUUUUUUAUGUAAGAUUAUAUAGUAUUUUAGUUUUAGUUACUGAUAGGUUUUUAAGUAUUAUUUUAUAUAUUUCGUGAUAUUCAAUUUCCGCGCGAAGCGCGGGUAAUUUUACUAGUUGAUAAUAUAGUUAAUCCAUUUAAUCUCUCUUGAGACAUUGUUGAUCUUAGAUAAGAUUUUAUUAAUUUUAGUUUCGAAAAACUUCUUUCGGCAGAGGCAACAGUUACAAGAAUGGUUAACAUUAUUCUAUAAAUAAUACUUUUUUUAUUCAGAAUUUUUAUUAUUUGUUAAAAAUCUAUCAAGGGCUCCUUUUUGGAAUUUAUUUAAUCAAUUCUUCAAGUUUUCUCUUUUUCUCUCUUUUUGUCAAUUCGAAAUCAGAUUUUCUAGUUGACAUAUUUAAAUUGAAUAAUUUUAAUAAUAACUAAAACAAGAAUAUAUAUACUUAUGAACUAAGAAUAUCAACAAUAGCAUAUUUUGAAGAAAAACUAUAAAAUAAAGUUAGAAUAAUAAAACCUGGCUCAUGAAUUUGAUAAGUUGGUAAAACAAUAUCGAAAUAGUGUUGUGUUCCUUCAAUAUAAUGAUUGCUUGUUGCACAUCUUGAGAUUUUGAAGAAGACAUCAAAAAACAAUUUUUGUUCUUUCGUAACUUGUAAGCAACAGUAAAACAAAAAAAAAUUGCAGGAGAGAAUUUAAUAAUUAGAAAUAAAAAAUAAUAAAGUAGAGAAUAAAAAAUUAUGAGUAUAAGGUAAAUAAUAAUAUAAGAUCAAACUUUUAGGAGAUAAAUAAGAAAACACAAUUUCCCACUUAAAGGAAAUUAUUCCCAAAAAAUGUUUCAUUCCCUUAAAAAAGUGGAAAAACUAACGGUCAUUUUUUAUACUUCUUACUUAUUUUUAAUUAAAAAAAUUAAAAGUACAUAUAAUUUUUUUAAUAAUAUAUAUAAGUUUUUUUUAAAAAAAAAUGGGGCCCCCAAAAAUAUGGUGCCCUAAGCGAUGGCUUUAGUGGCUAAAUGGUUAAGACGGCCCUGCUAAUGUCAUGGUCUUGAUAAUCUGGACCUAAUCCAUGUCUUUUUUAAUCACCUCUCUCUAAUACUUUUUUGGCCUACAUCUACCUCUCCUUAUAUCCACUAUAUCCAAUGUAUUGUACCUCCUCACUAAGGCAUCUUUGCAUCUCUUCAUCACGUGGACAAACUAUCUUAGUAUUGCUUCCCUCAUGUUUCCCACCAUAGAGGUCACUCCCAUCUUGUCUUAGAUAUCCUCAUUCCUAAUCUUAUAUUUCUUAGUGCCCACACAUCUAACUCAACAUCCUCAUUUCUGCAACUUGCAUCUUCUAAACAUAAGAUUUCUUGACUUGUCAAACUUCACCCUAUACAACAACAUCGAUCUAACUGCUACUUAGUAUAACUUACUUUUCAGUUUGCAUGGUACCUUCUUAUAAUAUAUGAGAACAGAGGCAAGCCUCUUUUUUCGUACAUACUGCACCACUACGAUUUGUGACAUCAUUGUUGAUGUCUCCAUUUCCCUUUAUUACUGACCCUAGAUAUUUUAACCUAUCCCUCUUGAUGAUAGACUAGAUGUCAAACCUCACUUCCUACCUAUCUACCUCGUGCACUAUAUUAUAGAAUUUGCAUUCCAAAUAUUCCAUUUUGGUCCAUCUCAACAUGAAUUCUUUAGACUUCACAGUUUGUCGCAUGUGGCAUCCCUAAAUAGCAUAAACCAUUAAACAUCAUCAUGAAUACGUCAUCAAGUCAUCCAUCACCAAGGGAAACCAAAAUAGGAUAAGAACUGAUCUCUAAUGCAACCCCAUCUCAAUUGAAAAGUGUUGCUAGUGUUGGAUCCGUCAUUCAUGUCCUCUAUUGCCCUAAUGUAAACCAUCGGUAUGAUUUUAGCCUCCAUACAUCUCAAAAGAACUUCCAAUAGAAAUUUGUCGUAUGACUUUAUAAGGUCAAUGAACAACAUAUGUAAGUACUUCUUCAUUUCCCUAUAAUUCUCCAUUAGUCUCCUCGCCAAAUGGUUGCCUUCUUUAGUCGAUCCCCCUAAAAUGAAUCCGUAUUUAUUCACAAAAAUGGACACACCCCUUCUAGAUCUCAUCUUCACCACCCUCUCGGCCUCUCCCAAAAUUUGACAGUGUGCCUUAGCAACAUGAUGCCUCUAUAAUUGUUAUAGUUUUGGAUAUUACCCUUGUUUUUAUACAAUGGGACCAUUGUGCUAAACCUCCAUUCUUAGGGAACUUUUGUCAUCUUAAAAAUGACAUUAAACAACCCAGCAAACAACCUAUUUAACCACUGUAUACCUUUUAUGACUGUGCUCUUUCAAAAUUCCACCGGAAUCUCACAUGGUCAAGUGGAUCUUCCCCUAGUCAUCCUAUUAAUAGCACACUUACACUCCUCUACUUUAAUACACCUACAAUAUCCUAAUUCUCAAACAAUCUAGAUUGCUACAAAUUACCCAACAUAAUGUCUAUGUCCCUUUCUUUGUUCAAGAGUUUGUGGAAGUAUGCUUGCCAUAUUUUCCUAAUGAGGGUCUCUUCCACCAACUUGUAUUCCACAUUGUUGAUUCACUUCACUUUAUCAAUGUCUCGGUCCUUCCUCUCUCUUUACUUUAAAAGCAUGUGCAGUAUCUUCUCUCUACCUUAUCCCCUAGUUCGACAUACAAACGUUCUAAAGCUCCCAUUUUUUAUGUGUUAACUGCUUGAACUCUACUAAUUUUACAUAAGAAACCUUCUUCCUUUCCACUUUUCCUUGGACUUCUCAAUUUUAUCACUAAUCCCCUUGAUGACCACCAAAGUUACCCCUUGAAACUCCUAGCACCUCUCUAGCUUCUUUCGUAAUGUAAUUAGUUGAGUUUUCCCACAUGUAAUUUGCAUUCCCACUCCUCCUCCAAGCCCCAAUCAUCAGUAACUUCUCCAUCAUCUCCUGAGAGAGGGCAUGAGUCAAACUACCCAAUUUAAUUCUCGGUAAAUCAUACAAAGUCUUCUUCCUCCUCUUUCUCUUAAUCUUCAGGUCAUUCACCAAAAACUUAUGUUGGAUAAAAAGAUUAUCACUCGGAUAAUAUUGCAGUCCUAUGAAGGCCUCUAUCACACUUCUUAAAGAGUAACUUAUCUAUCUAAGUUUUAGCCACCACACUAUAAAAGGUAACCAAUUGGUUCUCCUCCUUUGGAAAACAAGAGUUAUCUAUCACCAAUGCAAAAGCUUUAGGGAAAUCCAAAAUUGAUGCUCCACCUCAAUUUCUAUCCCCAAAACCAAAGCAUCCAUGUACAUAUAAUACCAAAAUUAAUAUUUCCCUAAUGUGGCCAUCAAAAUCUAUGUCGAUGACUAUCUUCUUGGUGCGUGGUAUACCCCUUACUACCUUGUCCAAUUCCUGCCAAAAGCGUUUCUCUAUCCCUUAGUCUCCUAGACACAAGGUAUAUUAAUCUUCCUUUUCUUUAGGAUCUUCAAUAGUUGUAUGGUAUUUCCCCAUCAAUUACCAUAUCUUCCAAGACCCUACAUAUAGCCUUAAAUAACCCUUACUCCACUUACCAUUCUUUUCCCUUAUCCUCAGCCUCGUCUGAAGAUAUGACCCUAAUCCAAUACUGUUUACCAAAGACACUAAAGUAGAUUCAAACUAAAUAGGCAACAACCAAAGAUAAGAGUAAGGAAUUGUAUAAAGUAAGCAAAAAUCAAUAAGUUAAUAAAGAAGGAAUUGAUCAAAAAUCUAUUCUUGACGGUAAGCACAAAUUAAUAAGACAUAGAGCAUAUAUUGAGCAAAGCACUAUUCUGAAUUACCCUACUUGUAGGGCAGCACAACAUAAAUAGGCAACAUAAUAUGUAAGUCCUUCUUCCUUUUCCUAUUUUUCUCCAUCAGUCUCCUCACCAAAUGGAUGGCUUUUAUAGUCGAUCACCCCAUCAUGAAUCCAAAUUUAUUCACAAAAAUGGAAACACCCCUUCUCACCCUAAUCUUCACCACCUUCUCCCAAAAUUUUGUAGAACCUUAGCAGCUUCAUGCAUGUGUAAUUGUUAUAGUAUUGGAUAUUAACCUUCUUUUUACAUAAUGGUACCAUUGUACUCAACCUCCAUUCUUCAGGAACUUUUGUCAUCUUAAAAAUGACACUAAACAACCCAGUUAACCACUUUAUACCUUUUAUGUCUAUGCUCUUCCGAAAUUCCAUCGACAUCUCAUCUGGUUAGAUGGAUCUUCCCCUAGUCAUCUUAUUAAUAACAUGCUUAAACUCUUAUACUUUAAUAAAUCCAUUGUAUCCAAAUUCUCAAUGAUCUUUAGAGUGCUCCAAAUCACACAACAUAAUGUCUAUGUCCCUUCUUUCGUUCAAGCGUUCGUGGAAGUAUGUUUGUCGUCUUUACCUAAUGAGGAUCUCUUAAACCAACACUUUAUCUUCAUCAUCGUUGAUGCACCUGAUCAAGGUCUCAGACAUUCCUCUCUAUCUUGCCUUUGCAAGCAUGUACAAUUUCUUCUCUCUAACUUAUCCCCUAGUUAAGCAUACAAACGUUCAAAAGUUUCCAUUUUUGAUGUUGUAACUAUUAACAUAGCCUCUGUCUUUGAUGCCUUAUACAUUUUCCUUUUCAAACAUUUACCCCCCUUAUCAUUGCACUAUACCAAUUUUACACAAGCAACCUUCUUUGUUUCUACUUUGCGUUGGACUUCUCCAUUUUUAUUACCAAUACCCUCAGUCACCACCAAAGUUACCCCUUGAAACUCCUAGCACCUCUCUAGCUUCUUUCGUAAUGUAAUUUGUUGAGUUUUUCCACAUGUACUUUGCAUUCUCACUCCUCCCCCAAGCCCCAAUCAUCAUUAACUUCUCUAUCAUCUCCUGAGAGGUCAUGGGUCAAACUACAAAUUUAUUCCUCAAUCGAUCAUACAAAGUCUUUUUCCUCCUCUUUCUCUUAAUAUUUGGGUCAAUCACCAAAAAACUUAUAUUGGGUAGUAAGAUUCUAACUCAAGAUCAUCUUGCAGUCCUAUAAAAGCCUCUAUCACUCUUCCUAAAGAGUAAAUAAUCUAUCUAAGGUUUAGCCACCACACUAUGGAAGGUAACCAAUUGGUUCUCCUCCUUUGGAAAGCACGAGUAGCUAUCAUCAAUGCAAAAGCUUUAGGGAAAUCCAAAAGUGAUGUUCCACGUCAAUUUCUAUCUCCAAAACCAAAGCCUCAAUGCACAUAUAUCACCAAAACUACUAGGCGUUGCUCCAAUGUGGGGAUUAAACUCACCACCAAUGACUAUAUUCUCGGUGUGUAGUGUACCCCUUACUACCUUGUCCAACUCUUCCAAAAAAUGUUUUUGAUCUUCUAAUCCAAGCCAACUUGAGGUGUGUAAGAACUUAUAAUGUCCAAACUAUGCCUUUCAAUGACUAGCUUAAUUGUCAGCAACAUCUCAUUAGUCCUCAUAACCUGCACCACUUGAUCCCUUAAGUCCUCAUCUACAAAAAUACCUACUCCAUUCCUAUCCCUCGAGAUUCCUGAGUACCACAACUUAAAUCCAUCAAUAUCUCAUUCAUUGGUACCUCCAAUCUGGUCUCCUAGACACAAGGAUUAAUCUUCCUUUUCUUUAGGAUCUUCACUAGUUGUAUGGAUUUCCCCAUCAAUUACCAUAUGUUCCAAGGCCCUACCUAUAACCUUAAAGAAACCUUACCCCACUUACCACUUCUUUCCCUUACCAUCGGUCUUUUCCGAAGAUAUGACCCUAAUCCAAUAUCGUUCACCAAAGACACUAAAGUAGAUACAAACAAAAUAGGGAGCAACUAAAGUUAAGAGUCGGGAAUUGUAAAAAGUAAGCAAAAAUCAACAAGUUAAUAAAGAAGGAAUUUCUCAAAAAUCUAUUCCUGACGGUAUGCACAAAUUAAUAAGACAUAUAGCAUAAAUUGAGGAAAACUCUAUUCCGAAUUAUCCUACUUGUAGGGCAGCAAGGCAGAAAUAGGUAACAUGAAUUAUAAAAAACAAUAACCACACAGAACAAGAGAAAAAAUAAACCAUAAGAAAUAUUUAUGGAAAUAACUACUAAAAAUAAAAAAAUAAAGAGAAAAGGAGUAAAAAUAGAACCUAGCUGGUAGCGCGACGAAGAAACUUAAUUGGGGAUAUUGUCAAUGUUGGCUAGAACUUGUUAGAAAUCACUAAAAGUUUCUGGUCCUUUCUGGAGAAAUCUGAGGCUUACAUGGAUGCCCAUACUUUCUACCUAGGAUAGUGGUUGUGUUGGUUGGGUCUGGCUGGAAAGGGUGUAAGGCAGAGGAAAAGAACGAGAAAACUGCAAGUAUGAAUGGUAUAGUUGAAAUGGGAGAAGGAUUCAAGAAGAUAGAAAGAUGUCACUUAUUUGUUGGAGGGCUGAAAAGGGAGAGUGCAUACAAAAGAGGGCCAUAGAGAGAGGGAAAGCAUAAAGUAAAGUGUCAUGGUCUUUUAUGUAAAGCAAUUAUGACUGUGAAGUCUCUUGAAUUUAUCCAAUUAUCUCUGUUAUUUUUCUUGAUGACUAGUUAUUCCUUAGAUAACAGUUAUUACAUAAUAUAAGCAUCAGUUUGGUUGUUGAAGUUGCUAAGUAAGAAGAUCUCUAACUUUGUUUAUGUUCAUGUAUCAUCCAGCC